AUGUGCGUGCGGAUCUCCCGCAACACCUACCCCAACCUCCGCGCCCUCCGCAACGCCUCCCAUGUCGGUCUCACCGACGCCCCACAUGUCAAGAUCUCCGAGGGCGACUUCGGACACAUCCUUGACGACGUGCCCCACCUCGCUGACUACUACAUUCCGAUAUGGAGUAUUGGUUCUCCUGAUCCUAACUUCACAUUAGAUGGCCACUCAAAAGGCGUGAACCGUGUUGAUUACUUCACCGGUGGUGAUCGACCAUUUUUUAUUACUGGAUCUGAUGAUCAGACUGCAAAGAGAUGUGUUCAAACACUUGAAGGAUAUGCACACAAUGUGUCUGCUGUCUGUUUCCAUCUAGAACUACCUAUUAUAAUUACUGGCUCAGAGGAUGGCACAGUUCGCUUGUGGCACUCUACAACCUACAGGCUUGAGAACACUCUUCAUUAUGGUCUUGAGCGAGUUUGGGCUUUAGGAUACAUGAAGGGGUCAAGAAGGAUUGUGAUUGGAUAUGAUUUAGGGAAAAUUAUGAUAAAAAUUGGCCGUGAAGUUCCAGUUGCUAGCAUGGACAACAGUGAAAAAAUCCUAUGGGCAAAACAUAAUGAAAUCCAAACUGUUAGUAUCAAGACUGUUGGUGCAGGCAAUGAGGUUCUUCUUCUUUGCCAUGUUAAAUGUGCAGGAUUGUCUGUCGUUAGUUUAGCUGCUACGUCGGAUCUGAUGCUGUUUUCGCCGAUAUAUAGGUUUCUAGGUAUCUGCUGCAAGGCUUGGAUUGACGAUCUUGAGACGGCCCUCACGGGAGUGGUCGUCGCCCCCGGUCAACUAUGGUCACCUCCGUUAGCACCCACCGGCAGGAUCCCCCUCCCCCUCGCCUCCCCCUUAUCCACCAUUUCAUGUCCACCACUGGGAGGAGCGGCGGUUGCCGCUGGCGCAUAUGCAAAGCCUGGAGACAUCGCCAUCGACGGGAGGAGAAGGACUGUCUUCGUCGCGUUUGUGCACUUCCGUGAAGAGGACAACUCGAGGUGA
rnacentral:rRNA from 1 species